GCAUUCACKUYAKMUACMUGACAGUCGACGAUGAUCUCCAGCUUGCUGGGGGGAUUAGUGGCGAACGGGUGAGUAACACGUGAGUAACCUGCCCUUGACUCUGGGAUAAGCCUGGGAAACUGGGUCUAAUACCGGAUAUGACUCCUCAUCGCAUGGUGGGGGGKGGRAAGCUUUUUGUGGUUUUGGAUGGACUCSCGGCCUAUCAGCUUGUUGGUGAGGUAAUGGCUCACCAAGGSGACGACGGGUAGCCGGCCUGARAGGGUGACCGGCCACACUGGGACUGARACACGGCCCARACUCCUACGGGAGGCAGCAGUGGGGAAUAUUGCACAAUGGGCGCAAGCCUGAUGCAGCGACSCCSCGUGAGGGAUGACGGCCUUCGGGUUGUAAACCUCUUUCAGUAGGGAARAAGCGAAAGUGACGGUACCUGCAGAAGAAGCGCCGGCUAACUACGUGCCAGCAGCCGCGGUAAUACGUAGGGCGCAAGCGUUAUCCGGAAUUAUUGGGCGUAAAGARCUCGUARGCGGUUUGUCGCGUCUGCCGUGAAAGUCCGGGGCUCAACUCCGGAUCUGCGGUGGGUACGGGCAGACUAGAGUGAUGUAGGGGAGACUGGAAUUCCUGGUGUAGCGGUGAAAUGCGCAGAUAUCAGGAGGAACACCGAUGGCGAAGGCAGGUCUCUGGGCAUUAACUGACGCUGARGAGCGAAAGCAUGGGGAGCGAACAGGAUUAGAUACCCUGGUAGUCCAUGCCGUAAACGUUGGGCACUAGUGUGGGGGACAUUCCACGUUUUCCGUACCGUAGCUAACGCAUUAAGUGCCCCGCCUGGGGAGUACGCCGCAAAGCUAAAACUCAAAGGAAUUGACGGGGGCCCGCACAAGCGGCGGAGCAUGCGGAUUAAUUCGAUGCAACGCGAAGAACCUUACCAAAGCUUGACAUGGACCGGACCGCUGCAGAGAUGUGGUUUCCCCUUUGGGGCCGUUUCACAGUGUGCAUGGUUGUCGUCAGCUCGUGUCGUGAGAUGUUGGUAAGUCCCGCACGAGCGCACCCUCGUUCUAUGUUGCCAGCACGUGAAUGUKGGAACUCAUAGAACUGCUAGUUCACCUCGAGACGUAGACGACGUCGAUCAUCAUGCCCCU
rnacentral:rRNA from 1 species